rfam:Stomoxys calcitrans breed 8C7A2A5H3J4 unplaced genomic scaffold Scaffold772, whole genome shotgun sequence.
CAUAGUGCAGAGGUUAUCAUGUUAGCCUAUGACGCUGAACGCCUGGGUUCGAAUCCUAGUG